AUGAAGAUUGAGUCAAGAGAAAAAGUUUCUUCUCUGACAAAUCAUCUCAUGUCCUUGGAUGAUGUGGAUAAUUACUACACAGCUGCACCUUCAAGAAUCACAAUGAAGCAGUUCAACAGCAAUGUAUUAGUGUUUUUUUGGCAGCAGGCUGUCAGAAUUGGAAAGAGGUUCAGAGGAGGACUAUUUGACUUCUUCAGAUCCCUGGGAAACAUAAUUUCUGGAAUCUUGCAAAUAUUGCACAGGGCAAUCGCCUGCCCCAAUUGCAUGAACUGCUUCCUAGACCCAGUCACAACAGACUGUGGGCACAACUUUUGCAGGCCCUGUUUGUACGUCAGCAGGCCGGACAUCCCAGCUCCUGCUCAGGGCUCUAAAUGCAAGAUGGAAAUUUGGAGGAGGGAACUCUGAGGAGCAAUGUGUGGGACUCACAGGCAGACAAAGAAGAUGUUCUGUGAAGUGGACAAGAGCCUGCUCUGUUUGCUGUGCUCCAACCCUCAGGAGCACUAGGAUCGCAGACACUGUCCAUUGACUGGGCUACUGAGGAAUGCCGGGAAAAGCUCCUAAAGAAAAUGCAGUUUUUAAUCAGAAAAAGCUUGUGAAAGUCUCAGAAACCUGAACACGGAAACCACAAGAACCAGAUGCUGGAAGGAUGAUGUGAGUUUAAGGAUACAAGCAAUCAGAGCGGAAUAUCGGAAGAUGCCGGCAUUUCUCCAUGAAGAAGAGCAACAUCAUUUGGAGAGGCUGCCAGAAAAGGGCGAGGACAUUUUUCUGCAACUCAAUGAAGGCAAAGCCAGAAUGGAACAUUGGAGGGAGAUGGUAAGAGGAGUGGAUGAGGAGCUGAAGGAAACGGGCCAUAAACCAGAUGUGGAGCUACUCCAGUGCUUUGGAGAUGCGGUAUGCAGGUGUGAGGCUCUGCUGCUGAAAGUGCCCAGCCUGUAAAUCCAGAGCUCAGUGCAGGGCCCACCGUGGGACUGGGGGACAGGCUCAGUGAAUUCAGAGUCGAUAUCACUCUGCAUCCUGAAAGAGCCAAUAGUGGUACUUCCUGCAUGGAGAUUUCAGAAGCAUGAAUGUUGGGUGUGACCCUCAAGAUGAUCCCCAUAUCACUGCAACACCUGGAUGUGUUCUUUCUGGUUCUUUUCUGUUCACCCUGGAUGGGGUGCUCAGACUUUCACAUCUGGAAAAUAUUACUGGGAGGUUCACAUGCGGGACUUUUGCCAUUAGGCUUUUGGAGUCUGUAACAAUUACUGGAAAAAGAAGACACAGAAUGACUAGAUGAAGAGAAGGGACCCUUUCUUCUUGGAUGUGUUAAGGAGGAUGUUCACUGCAGUCUCUUUACCACUUCCACACUUAGGGUACAAUAUGUUCCAAGACCUACCCACCAAGUGGGAGUUUUCCUGGAUUGUGAAGAUUGAACCGUGAUCUCUGUUGAUGUUGAUCAAAGUUCCCUUAUACACACCAUCACUAAUUGUUCCUUCUCGCCUCCUCUCAGGCCUAUCCAUUGCUGUAGUCACUUCUGA